AGCGAACGCUGGCGGUAGGCCUAACACAUGCAAGUCGAACGAACUCUUCGGAGUUAGUGGCGGACGGGUGAGUAACACGUGGGAACGUGCCUUUAGGUUCGGAAUAACUCAGGGAAACUUGUGCUAAUACCGAAUGUGCCCUUCGGGGGAAAGAUUUAUCGCCUUUAGAGCGGCCCGCGUCUGAUUAGCUAGUUGGUGAGGUAAAGGCUCACCAAGGCGACGAUCAGUAGCUGGUCUGAGAGGAUGAUCAGCCACAUUGGGACUGAGACACGGCCCAAACUCCUACGGGAGGCAGCAGUGGGGAAUCUUGCGCAAUGGGCGAAAGCCUGACGCAGCCAUGCCGCGUGAAUGAUGAAGGUCUUAGGAUUGUAAAAUUCUUUCACCGGGGACGAUAAUGACGGUACCCGGAGAAGAAGCCCCGGCUAACUUCGUG
rnacentral:rRNA from 1 species